UACGGAGGAUCCAAGCGUUAUCCGGAAUCAUUGGGUUAAAGGGUCCGUAGGCGGUUUGGUAAGUCAGUGGUGAAAGCCCAUCGCUCAACGGUGGAACGGCCAUUGAUACUGCUAGACUUGAAUUAUUAGGAAGUAACUAGAAUAUGUAGUGUAGCGGUGAAAUGCUUAGAGAUUACAUGGAAUACCAAUUGCGAAGGCAGGUUACUACUAAUGGAUUGACGCUGAGGAGCGAAAGCGUGGGGAGCAAACAGG
rnacentral:rRNA from 1 species